GUAGGUGGCAAGCGUUGUCCGGAAUUAUUGGGCGUAAAGCGCGCGCAGGCGGUUCUUUAAGUCUGAUGUGAAAGCCCACGGCUCAACCGUGGAGGGUCAUUGGAAACUGGAGAACUUGAGUACAGAAGAGGAAAGCGGAAUUCCACGUGUAGCGGUGAAAUGCGUAGAGAUGUGGAGGAACACCAGUGGCGAAGGCGGCUUUCUGGUCUGUAACUGACGCUGAGGCGCGAAAGCGUGGGGAGCAAACAGGAUUAGAUACCCUGGUAGUCCACGCCGUAAACGAUGAGUGCUAAGUGUUAGGGGGUUUCCGCCCCCCUUAGUGCUGCAGUUAACGCAUUAAGCACUCCGCCUGGGGAGUACGGCCGCAAGGCUG
rnacentral:rRNA from 1 species